UCACACUAUUUGUGUACGUAACACAUGCUGCGUUUCAGGGUGAAUGAUCUAAAAACAUUAAUUUCUUCCUCAGCGAUCAGUGGCAUAUCAUGGAAAAACCUCUUUUUGACAGUGGUUGGUCGGAUGUGAUGGGAGAGUCAUGUCGGCUGUGAGCGUUUAGAGUCAGCGGGGAUACAGAGGCUCCAGUGUAACGAGAGAGAGGCCUUUAUGUGCUGUGACUCAGAUGAACACAGCAGUUGUUGGGGAAAAGGUCAGUGGAUUUUGUUGGUAUUCUGCAGCCGUGCGCUUUUUGGCAGGACACUUGACGGCGCAGCGGGCACUCGAGCUUGAAAUGAUGUUGCUUCCUCCGGCCAGGAGGCGAUGGCUCCCAUGCCACACAGCAUACGCAGGAUGCCAUAAAUCCUACAGUUCUAGUCACGGCACAAGAAGAUCUCUUUAUGGCCCGUAUGGAGAGGAGGAAUGAUUACAACGACCCAUAACUGUUGCAGCGUACAUAUGACGUGUGAUUAGAGAAAUCCCCCGGACCCUGUCAGAAACACCGAAUCAGCACACUCAUACACUGAGGUGAGUGUGCGUUUCAGUCUGUAAUCUUUGCAUGCAUGUAGUUUGAUGUGUGUGUGUUUCUUCCUAUGCUGCAUGUCUGCUUGAGUGUAACUGCACAAUGCUAUCCUAGUGGUGGAAGAGGUAAUGAGAUCUUUCACUUAAGAAAAAGUGUCAAAACAGCAAUUUAAGCAUUCUUCAUUACAAGUAAAGGUCAUCUAUUAAACUUUAAUUUAAAGAAAAAGUAGAUUGAAACUGUUCCAGAGUACAGUACCUAAGUAAAUGUGUGAGUUACUUUCCACUACUGGUGAUGCAAUGUUAAGUGAAGCGGUGCAGAAAAGCACAGGUGCCUCUACUGAAUUCAGGCCUACACAGCAUCUGCUUCAGGGUGCGAUGGGAGCCGGUCGCCUCCUUCUGUUGGCUCUGUUUUACCGGUGCGAACAAAUACAAAG
rnacentral:lncRNA from 15 species